GACCCAGACCUAGCCAACCAAGAUGCCAGUGACUAUCACACCACCAGCUCAGGCCAAUCAGAGGCAGUGGAAUUGGACUGGGAGCUAUUAUUUGAGCUUCUGGAAAAGUAAUCUUGCUCUUGUCUCAUUGAUUCGACUCUGGGAGGAUGUAGCUCCUGCGGCUACUGGCAGCCACUUUGUGAAUAGAGAUUGAGUCUGAAGGGAAUUAACACAUGAAAGAAGGCCAAGCCUGGAAAGAGGGACCCCAGAACAUGACCUCAUCCUUUGAGCAUUUCAACCAAGCCCUGUACUCUUCUUCAGUACUGUGCACUCAUAAAAUCUCAUUUAGCCAGUGUUAGCUGGGGCAGGUUUACUGUUGCUUGGAACCAAAGGAAUCCAAAUGGAUACCUUCAGAGUUCAGUAAUUUGUGGUUCAUACCACAGCCUGGACUGUCACUGGGCAAUGGAGGAGGCCCCGGGUGAGGACCAUGGAAACAGUAUCAGCCAGUGCUGUGUGACAUUUGCCAAGUGCUGUUUCAAGGCCUUUAAUCCACAUCAGCUCAUUGGAGGUGCUAUUUGCACCGUCUUUCAGGUGGGAACCAGAGGCUCAGGCAGUCGGAGGACACAUGCAAGAUCACACAGCUCCUAAACUGGGGUUCAGUAGUGCUGGGUUUCCAUGCACCCAUUGGGCCCCUUGAGGACCUGGCCUCCCUCACUUGUCCCCCAGGCCCACCUCCCGCCCUCCCUUUGGGUUCUGAGCAAUCUCAGGUGGUCCUAAUUCUCUCCAGCUUCUUGCUGGGCACUACAGGGACCUUGAACCCAGCUGCCAGGAGAGGCUGGGCUCCUGCAUUCUUUCCCCGGUCCCAAUUCCUCCCUCGGGGCAGGGCUAGGGGGCAGAGGAGGGGAGGAUGAGGGGUCUCAUGUGGGCUCCUUGCCUGGUGUCUGUAAAGUGGCUUCUGAGCCUGGUUGCACCACUGGCUCUGGCUUGCCUCUGGCCCCAGCCCCAAGCUAAUUUGAGCUUGGCUUUCAUUUUCUUUCUCUUCCCUUUUCUGCCCCUUUUUCAUGUACGAGAGAGGCCCCAGCACAGACAAGGAGAGGGAAAAGCAGCAAGAAGAUGGAUGGAUGCAGCAGGAUACUCUGUCGUAAAUAAGAAAAUCCAAAUAGUGGAAAUCAUUUAUUUGUUCCUAGAUCCCAAAGUCUGGUGGCUGGGAUGGUAUCAGGAUUGAACUCAGGACCUUCCACUUUUGAGGCACGUGGUGGAACCACUGAGCUAAAUCCCCAGCCCGCCACAUGGCUUUGACAGUGCCAGACCUCCCUGGGACUGACAGAAGGUGUCUUCGGAGCUCGUAUGUAUAUUCGAGGAAUCGGCUUUGGACUGAGUUACAUCCUCUUGCAUAAACCAGUCACUGUGUCCGUAGGAGGCUUUGACCCAAUAUACACAGCUGAGGCUGGAGAGGGCUAAACCUUUCCGGGUGGAAUUGGGGCAUAGGCAGGAGAAGGGUGACAGCCAUUACUGGAUGGCCCAGAGCCCAGGUGGCAGCACCUAAAUGAUACUCAUGCCUGACAACGAAUGGAACACGCUUUCCCAAACCAUUUUCUUUUCCUUUCUUAGACUCACAGGAAGUCCUGGGCACAAACUACUGUGACCAUGCAUUACUCUUUCGGUUUUAAAAAUAAAGCAAGAAGGCUUGGAGAGGUAGAGUGGCUUGCUUGGAGUCACCAGCCAUGCCCGGCAGGGCUCCUUGGAGCCAUGGUACUCUGGAAGGCCUCAGCAGCUGGCAGCACCCAGGGGGCUCCCAGGAGGAUUUGCUUAGAGCAAAGAAAGAAGUUCAAAGUCUGCAGACUUACAGUUCAGAACCAAGAGGGCUGAGGGAGGGGUCAGCGAGUCUGGAAUGGAGAGUGUGGGUCAGGGUACCUGGCCAAAAGUCAGGGCACAAAAUUGUCCCCAAAUGCUGUAAGCUGCAGAAGGUAAGUCUGGGGCGGGGUGCAAAAGAAGAUCCCUGGGCUUUCUCUGGAUGCACUGGCCUUGGAGGGCCAAAUCUUCUCCCCGCAGGCUCCCACUUCGUUCCCCAUCUUAUCCACAGCUCCUGCUUUCAUGGGUUUGACCCACUGCAGAUUGAGAAUAUUCAGAAAAAACCAACUGGGUCUGUCCUGAACCUAUACAGACUUUUUUCUUGCUAUUCCCUAAACGUCACCCACAGAAGGAAUCCGUCCUACACAGUGACCCAGUUUGCAAACACUGAUACUCACACACAAAUAGAACGGAAAGGUGGUCAGCCUGCACCAUGCAGCCCUACCAGGUGCGAAAAGCCUGAAAUGCUCCAAGCCAGGCCAACUGGAGUGCAGUGGGAUUCCUGAUGUGAAAAUACAGAGAGGGAAAAGCCUAGGAGCAGAGGCCGAACCACUGUUGCUGCUGCCUUGACACAGCACCUUAAGCUGGAAAGUAAGGAUUGGGCCCAGGUGGGGUCUGAGCUCAGCUGGCUGCUUCUGAGCUGUUUCUGCCAGCAGGUGACAAACCUGGGCAAUGCAUUUGGAGCCUGUGGUGGAUUAACUAAUGUUCGACUUAGAGCACCCAGCUGAACUGAGUCAGCAUGGUUCUGGGCAUGGAAGACCCACCUGAGGACUGUUGCCAAUGGCAUAAAAGGAGACCUAAAGGGGAAGAUCGUAUGCUGUUGAUUUUCUUGGAGAAGCUUGUUGUGGUUGGUUUUCCUGGCGCGAACUCAGCUGUUCUCAUCAGAGGAGCACGGGUCUUCCCUGUCACCGAGGAUGGCUGCUGUUCUCUUCAGGGGAGCUCUGGUCUAUGCCUUGAGCGUUGCUUCCUGGCUCCAGUGCAGAGCCCUCAGCCUGGUGGCACAGGUACUUCACCCUGCAGGUGCAGACUUUCUAGCUUCCACCACUGGUCUUUGGGCCUUCCGGGUGCAGAUCUUUGGUAUGGACUUGCAUGGGAUGUUGCCAUGGGCUCUAGGCCUCUGGCUGGACUCUAGGCCUCCAGCUGGACUGUGUGGGAUAUUGUCAUGGGAUCCAGGCCCUUGGCUGGAUUCUUCAGGUCUCUAGUAUGUGGACAGAUCUCUUGUAUUCCUCUGCAUUUGACUUUUUGGGAGAAAAUUAUAAAAUAUCCUGUAAAUUAUAUGUCCUAUAUUAAAUCUAUUCCCUUGCAAACUCUUGACUACAACAGAGUCCAAGUAGGAAAACUACACACUAAUGGCCCAAGGUGGGGGUUUGACUUCUGAUUACUCACAGUUAGAAGAUCUAACCACUCCCAACCUCGGGUUAUCUCCACUGAGGGAGAUGGGUAGGGACCUCGCUUACUGGUCCAAGAAGGUAUAGGUGUGUAUAUUUGGGUUUGUGCAAAUUGUAGAUUUGCUUUGAUUCUUUAGAAAUAAUCCCUCUGUCUCCAGUGUUAAAACCAAAAACUUUCAAGUCCCAGACAAACACCAUGAGGCCCCCAUCCUGAGGCCAAACGGGUGCGUGCAGGGCCCUGAUGCCAUGACACAGGUGCCGGUCCCUCAGGGAUUAGAAUACACUGAUUUGGGUAUCCUUGAAGACCAGGCCUGCCACACCUUCAUCUUAUCUACAGUUUGAGUCAGAAGGGACAACAAAGCCAUAAAAACCCAACCUGUCAGGUUUUCAGAUGUGUAAAACAAGGCCCCCAAAGUAAGUUCCUUAGAUAAAGUCACCCAGCAGGCUCAACAGAGCAGAGCCCAGGAGUCCUCCUUCCUGUUCAGAGCUCUCUUUCACCUCAGCUUUCCUCCCACCUAACUUUACAUUUGUACUUUAGAAAAUAUCCCCGUUAUGAACUGGAAGCACAAGUGUGGUCCAUUUGAAGUGCCUUUAGGAUACAUAUAUGCAUAGCUUUGGAUACACAUAUUCCCAGGCCCCUUUGAAAUAGUUCACAAUCAGGUAGAAUAGAAAAAUUCCUGUGCUGGGAAAUAAUAUCUACUGGAGGUCACAAACCUCUCACUCACUCAGUUUGUUCCCUUAUCUUCCCUGAGUCUCCCUGUCCCAACUGUAAAAUGACCACACUUGCCUUGACUCCUCAUGGGAAGAGGGGUGAAUUGGGACAAUUUCCACAGAAGAACCUUAUGUAUUGUAGAGCAUUUUUAGACAGAUAAAUCAUCACAACAUGGGCUAAAAUUGAGGUUGAAGUGGAGGGGAUUGCCUGCGCCCAGAUCCCCUCACCAAGUGUGUGAUUUGGGGCCUGGCUACUUAACCUUUCAAGUAGUGUCUGUCUUACAGGGUCAUUGUGAUGACUUCAUGGUUUAAUUCCCAUAAACUACUGCUUGGCACAUUUUCAGUGCUCAAUAAAU